rnacentral:lncRNA from 1 species
GUAAGUGAGAGAGAAGAGAGAAACGACGGUAGGGGUGUUGGUUCCGGUGAAAUCUCGCCAGGAAUCGCCAUUUUUGUUGGAGAUCUGAACCAUACUCCGACUGUCGAUCACUGUUGGAGCUCGCUGGAACUCCGGUGAUACAAAUAUCAGCUCCACCUCCAUCAAAAUCAUAAAGCCCGAUCACCCCAUCACUGUUGAGGCUUGUCGAGCUCCGUUGAAGUCGCAACAGUCCAGCCCAAUGACCACGCCUUUUGCUGACUAAACCCAUAACCCCGUUGAUGUGAAUAGUAUUAUGAAAAAAGUCGCAAACAUUGGUUCUUGGUCCAUAUUCGAUUUGGUUUUUUAGGGGUUUUGAUUUAAGAUUGUUGUUUUGGAUUGUUCGAUUUUGGGUUCAAUCGAGUUGGCGAGUUUGCGUUAAUUCGGAUUCAGGUUCGAUUCGAGGUUCCGGACGGAAAUUCUCUCAGUUUUAAUCGGAAUAAUACAUUGAUUUUGAAAGCAUGAUCGGAGGUCCAAUUCUAUCUCUUCUCAUUUCUAUUUCAUUAUACGUGUUUGAUAUGUGUGAAGCAUGAUAUGAUAUGACUGUUUUGGUGAUUUUGAUUUGUCAUUUGAUGUCAUUGAUAUUGGUUAAAGAUUGUUAAAAAGUAAUUGUGAAUUGUUACAUUGGAACCUUGAGUUGAAUUUAGGGCAGGAAUUGAGACAUUAAUAAAAGUGAAUAUUGAUUAAUUUUGAUGUAUUGAUGAUGUAGAUCAAUUCAGUAGUAUCAUGAUAAGACCGGCGAAAGCGCAGGCAAAUAGUAGGCUUGGGUAGGCAAAUUUAGAACUUAUGGAUUGUUGAGUGUUUGGAAUGUUUGAGGAAUGGUUUGUCUUUCUCGCAUUUGAAAAAUGUAUUCAUUUAGUUGGGGAAUGCCCUAAGACGCAUUGUAUUUAUUCAUCGAAGAAUUUCUCGAUGUAUUAUGUUGGCGGAAGACAUUCGUGAUGAAGGCCCGAGGCAUCGGGUAAAGCACGAGAGCGUAGUUAGGAUUAGUGUAGGUUAGAUAAAAUUUAUUUUCGCAUUUUUAUUUAUUUUGGACUGUAUAAUUGGACUGAACACUAUAUUUUGGAUUUAUUUUGUUUCGUGUGUUUGGAUGUCUGUUUAUGUGUUUUAUGUGGUUUAUGCAUUUGUAAUAUCAAAUUAGCCGAUAUGCUCACCAAGCGACCGUGGUCGAACCACGGGAUCGAGGGGUGCCUAACACCUUCCCCUCGGUCAACAGAAUUUUUUAGCCGGAAUCAUUGUUCGCAAACCAGUUUUUUAAAGAGUCAAAUCAUUUCGAAAAGGAUUUUUCCAAGGUGACUUGGCACACCGAAUUAUGUCAAGUGGAGACUCUGAGUUUAAAUAUAAAUAAUCCUUUUUCGAAAUAAAUUUUCAUCUUUUGUCACUUAAUAAUAAAAAACCCUUUUGAACUUUAAACGAAUUCUUUUCGAUUAAAAAUAGGGUGUGACAGCGUGUGACAACUCUGUCGACUCCGCUGGGAAUUUUUCAGAAUUCGAGAUUAUUUUUGGAGUUGAAUUGGCUUAGUUUGAUAUUAUUAGUGUAUAAACAUUGUUUGUGUUUAUUUAUCAUUGUUAAAUGCUUACGUGCUACGUGUUUACAGUUUUUUUCUUGUGUGUUACCGUUUUAAAUCUGACAUCAUGUGGAUAACCAGAGUUAAUUCUUUCUGCAACAAGUCCUGGAGUGCACGUCGUGCACACAAACUCUAGUUGAGUCACCCUUAUUUUAGGAAGGGGAGCCGUCAGGCAUAUGGAGUGGGUGAAAAGCAAAGCAGCCACUAUCGACCAUAUGCUCCCCCGAACAGCCUUGUUAGUAAAUCCUAACAUAGGUCAGCCUUUAGGUUAUGCUUAUCUGCAUUAUAUUGAGACCUAGUGGGACCUACAUGGCCCUUUGUAGGAGACUCACCUCUAAAGCAUCCAUAUGUGCUAAAUGUUGCAUCUUUGAGGGUAACUUGAUCAUUUGAUGGACUGAUUAGGAGAAAACAUGUGUUAGAAGCAAGGUGUGUUUGAAAAAAAAAAGAAAGAAAAAAGUGAGUCGAACAGUAAAAAAAUGAGUUUCAUAGUUUUUAGAAUUCUUUAUGGCUUUUGUUUUUCACAAUCCAAAAAUUCAAAAAGAUUUUUUUUUUUUACCUUUUGCACUUAUCUUGUUAAAGACAGAAAUGUCAAAAAGAUUUUUCUUUGUUUCUUUAAUAAGCUUUCAUAAUUUGAAAAUUUCAAAAAAGAUUUCUUUUAAUAGGAGCUUUUUAUAAAAUUCAAAAAAUAUGGUAGAAGUUUUCUACAUUUCAUAUAACGAAAACACCAAAAAGAUUUUCUUUCAUAGCUGUUGGUGUCAUUUUUUAUGUGAAGUGUCGAAUUGAAAACUCAAAAAAAGAUUUUGUUAAGUUGUUCAUCAUGUGUCUUUGGUCGUGUCUCAAGUCAGGGUGCAAUCUGUGAUUUAAUCAUUAAUUAUCCAAUCUGGACGAACUACGUACCCCUGAUUCUCCUCUCUCGGGAGUGAGAUAUGUAGGCAGCCUAUUGUGGGUUCGGGAAUCUUAUUUCAAAAAUCCAAAAAACUAUUUUAUUCACUCUUCAUUUAGAGUAGGUGUCAUAUACAUCUCUAAUAGAAAACCACAAAAAGAUCUUCCUUGAAUAGUUUCAAGUUUUAUUUACGUAUGAAUGCAAAAUUAAAAAUCCAAAAAGAUUUUUUUUUUGAUAAUUUUAGGUUUCAUUUUGUAUAGGAAUUUUAAAGCUGAAAAUUCAAAAAGAUUUUUGUUAAUUCUUUUGACAAUUUGUUAUUUCUUUUCUUCGUAAAGUUUUAAGAAAAUAAAAGAGUUUAAUUGGCCAUUUUGGCAAGAUUUCACGAACUACGCACACCUUUCUCCUCUCUCGAGGGUGAUAUACGUAGGCGCCCUUCUUUGGUUUGGUGAUCUUUUCAAAAAAAAAGAAAGAAAAAAAAAGAGAUUUUGAGAAAGUGUUGAACUCUAACGCAUUUACUAUCUCUUGUUCUGUUAGUUUGAGGUGGUUAGUUUGUGGCAUUUUGGCUAAUCCUCCAUAUUGCACCAAGUCAUAGAGAAGGUUAUGGCCAACAAGGAUACCUAGUUUGUUGUCACUAAUCAGAUAGGGAGUUCGGAAAAUGAGAAUUUAGGAGCUAAUGAAGAGAUUUGGAAAUUAAGGCAACAAAUGAUAGAAAUGCAUCGAGCUUGGGCUAAUGGGUUGCCGCCUCCCCCAGUUCCCACUGAUAAUCCAGAAUAUCUUUCUAGCUUGCCUCCCAUGUCACAUGUACAAUUUCCCAUUUUUAUUGAUAUGUCACAACAUGCAUCAGGAUCGACUGCGGGGCAAUAGUAUCCAACCACUUCCAAUGUUCAUUUCCUCACUCCCCAAUCCAAGACUACCACAUACUUGGCUCCACCUGCUAUUCAUGUUUUUGCGGCGCCACUCCCGCCUGAAGCUCCUACUUUUGAUGUUCAUCCACAAGUUGUGCCUCCACACUCUACAAGAGAGCCUACUGGUGAUCAGCGUUACACUUUCGAGCCUACAUUCAAGUUGACUGGUCUUUGUGGUGACACUCACCCGCCUGAAUUUCCUCCUAACACUGAGAAGCCUAUUAUGAUAGAAGAACAAGAGGAAAUGACCAGAAAAUUGAUAAGUUUGGAACUGACUAUGAAGAACUUGCAAGGACUUGGGGGUUACAAAAGUGUCUAAUAUAAGGACUUUUGCAUGUUUCCAGGUGUCAACCUUUCUCUUGGCUUUAAAAUGCCAAAGUUUGAGAAAUAUGACGGACAUGGGUACCCAUCGGCAUAUUUGAGGCGCUAUUGUAACCAAUUAAGAGGUGCUGGAUGGAAGGAAGAACUACUCAUGGCUUAUUUCAGGGAGAGUCUGUCAGGCCUAGCGGCGGAAUAGUUUGUUGACCGAGACAACGACAAGUGGAGUAGUUGAGAUGACCUAGCUAAUGAAUUUUUGCAAUAAUUUUAAUAUAAUGUGGAGUUGAUCCCUGACGAAAAAUCCCUAACUAGUAUGAAGAAGAAAAAUAUUGAGAUCUUCAGGGAGUAUGCGAUCAUAUGGCGCGAACAAGCUGCUAGAGUGAAACCGCCAAUGAAAGAAAGCAAAAUAGUAGAGGUGUUUAUUCAAGCGCAUGAUGAAACAUAUUAUCAACACUUGUUACCUACAUUGGGCAAGUCAUUUAUUGAGGUCCUUAAAAUAGAGGAGAUGAUAGAAGAGGGAAUUAAGACGGGUCGCAAUUUGAGUUUUGCAACAUUGAAAGCAACUACUCAAGCAAUUCAAAAGGGUUCAGGAAGUCUUGGGGAGACAAAGAAUGAGAAAGAUGUAUCCGCUAUUGUAGUUGGAUAGCGGGAACGGUCAAGAAGACCCCGUCGUCGUCAAUCUCAGGCUCAAACCUAAGUUCAUACCCAAACUCUACAUAAUCACUCCCAAGAUCUAUUAUACUUUGCUCCUCCACCUCCAUAUCCAGUAUAUAACACACAACCAUAUGUACAACCCCCAUAUUACCCACAGUGGAACACACCAACUCCUCAGAGCAGUCCUCUAACUCCACAAGUAUACCAAAACCCUUCUAAGCCUGAUUUUUUAUUCAACCCAAAUGAUGAAACGAGGCAGAAAUCGAGAGAUAACUUCAUAUCAAUUGGAGAGUCGUAUGCCAGUUUAGUUCAGAGAUUGGUACAAUAGGUCAUGAUCACUCUUCUCCUUGGGUGCACUCUUAAUCGGCGUUUAAGAAAUUUUAAUUCUAAUAUAUGAUGCGCGUAUCAUUCUGAUGCUCAGGGUCAUAGUAUUAAAGAUUGUUGAGAUUUGAAAAGAGAAAUUGAAAAGAUGAUUCAAGAUGGAUCAAUUAUGGUGCAGAACAUUGACAGUGUGGAGAGCUCUAGUGAUGCUGAUAUGCAAACCAGUGGCUAAGUUAUCAGGCUGAGAAAUUGAGAAGUCACCUUUCUCUCUACUAGGAAGAGGUCUGGUAGUUUGUUUUGAUUUCUUUUCUGUUAUCCGAAUUAUUUUAGGGUCAUAGUUUAGGAUAUAUCUUGUUUUAUCCCUUUGUCAUUAUGUUCAAAGCCUUCUAUCUUUCAUUUUAAUAGAAUGAAGUGUCCCAUUUUUUCCUGUGUUUUAAAUAUGUACUGUUUGUUUGUUUUCUUUACAUAGUACAUUUUAUGUUGAUUUUAGUGAUAUGACAUCUAGCGGAAUUUUCAGCUAGAUCUUAAAAUUCAGUUUAAGCAUGAGCAUUGAAUCAGAGAGUUAAAGUUACAAAAAGAGAGCAUCUGAGAAAAUAGGUAGAGUGCUGAGACAUUUGGUGACAAGUCCAAGCCUUCUUUGAAAAUUAAGGCAAUUAUGUUGAGAAUCAUAAGAAUAACUUGGUCAUUAAUUGAAAGACCUGUCUAAAUUAGGUCAGAUGGUGGAGUGAUAUGAUGAACAAAGUGUAAGACUAGUGAUGCACAAAUUCAGUUAAAGUUAGUGUUGUAGAAAUGCCACGAAUGAUCUCCAUCUUUCAUUUUCACAUUGCAUGAUGUGUACUUGCAUUUUCAAGGAUUGAUAUGAUGAAGGCAUUUCAUUCUGCUAUCCGUACAUUGUGUCAUCCUUUGGGUACCACAUUUGAGCCUUAGUAUUAUUUUCUGUCAUACACCUUUUUUGGAAUCAAGAUACAGUCAGCAAAGCUCAAAAGAAAUAUGUCAGAAAAAAAAUGUGUCCAAAAAGAAGGAAAAGAGAAGAGUGUCAAGAAAAACAGAGUCAGAAAAAGUCCCAAAGAGAAAAGAGUCAAUAAAAGAAAACAAAAACAGAAUCAAGCAAAAGAACAAGCCGCCAGAACUACGCGUGACCUAAUUCUCCUCUUUUGGGGGUGAGAUACGUAGGUUGCCCUACUUAGGGCUCGGUCCAACCAAAUAAAAUUUAGUAUUGCCCAGUCAAAAAAAAAUUGGGGCAUGAGUUAAUUCUUGUAUUUUGAGUCGAUUCCAAAAGUUAUAAAUCCUACUCCACAUCAAGUGCCGUUUGGCCUCAUGCCAUCCAUUCUUUCUAACCUUAUCCAAAAGUCAAGUUACAACCAAAGAAAGACCUUCAGAUCAAUCUUUGAGAAUGCUAAGGCUACGCAUGCAAUGGAUAUGAUGACACAUUUUGGGAACUACUUGUCUUUCCCAGCAUAAGGAAUCGGGAGAGAAAUGAAAAUGAGAGAGUCUUAUUGGUGAAAAACCUUACGAGCAUCGUAAGAUGAUAGUAAGCUAAGAGAGAUAAAAAUGAGAGAGUUUUAUUAGUGAAAACCCUUACGGGCACUGUGAGACGACUGUAAGUUGAGAGAAAUGAAAAUAAGGGAAUCUUAUUGGUGAAAACCCCUCUCGAAUACUAUAAGGCAAUGGUGAGGUGAUAAAAGGAAAUGAGAGAGGCUUGUUGGUGAAAACCCUUCAAGGCGCCACUAGCCAAAUGAGGUCUCCGAAUAUAAUUGGCCCAAGAAAGAAACUCACUUUCAGGGUUAUUAACUCAACAACAAUUUGUGAGAGUUUUGGAUGGAAAGAUCAGGCUGUUUAAUCCGAUAUGCAUGUCAUAAUCAUUAGAGUUGACUGUCAUUUUCAGAUAAACUUUUUUUUCAUCUUUUUCAAUAGGGACAUUCAUUGUCAUUUCUUUCUUUUCUAUAGUAUAUUUUUAUUUUUCUUGAGUCAGCUAUCCAAAUAAAAAUCAUUGUCAUUUUUCUCUUGUCUUUGAGUCAAGUCCAUGUCAAAACAAAAGAGAAAAGAUUUCAAAACUAGCUACCAGCUUCAUCAAUUGCACAGAGCAAGAUAAAAGCUAGCAUGAAAAAGACAUGAUUGUGAGCCAAAAAAGGUAUGUAGAAAGUUUUGCCAACAGAGAAGUCGGGGAACUUAUGGAAAUGCAAAGUUUCAAAGGCCUAUCUGAGAAGCAUGGCAAAGCAGAGAUACUGUGUUCGUUUCAGUCACUCUUAAUGACCUGAGUUUGAGUCAAUGAUGCAACAAAUCAAUGACAUAUGCUAAUGGUUGGAAGCAAGGUUAAAUGUGAUUGGGGAAAAAGCGAUUGCCUCGAAAGCCAAAGCCACAAACCAGCCACCAUGUUUUAAACUCAAAUGUUUUCUUUGUAUGAAACAGGAACACAUGUUACCUUCAAAUUGAGGAUUUCAAAGCCUAAACAUCAAGGGUUGCAAUGCCUCACUUUUACAAAUGAAGGAAGCAAUAUUGCUGCAUAGGUUUGAUAAUAAAAUCAUGGUAAAAAUUUAUCAUCUUAUAUCCCUCGAAGACACACUUUCUUGUCCAGGGAUUUCAGUCUUCAUUUCCUAGGUGAUACACUUCUUAAAUUGAACCUUCACUCCUAUAAGACGUACCUUUUAGUCGAGUCAUCCCUCAUGAUUCCUAUAAGACGUAACUUUUAGUCGAGUUAUCCCCCUUGAUUCCUAUAAGACGUACCUUUUAGUCGAGUCAUCUCUCUUGACUCCUAGGAGACGUACCUUUUAGUCGAGUCAUCUCCUUUGAUUCCUAUAAGAUGUACCUUUUAGUCGAGUCAUCUCCCUUGAUUCCUAUAAGAUGUACCUUUUAGUCGAGUCAUAUCCCUUGAUUCCUAUAAGACAUACCUUUUAGUCGAGUCAUCUCCCUUGAUUCUUAUAAGACGUACCUUUUAGUCGAGUCAUGUCCCUUGACCCCUAGAAGACAUACCUUUUAGUCAAGUCAUCUCCCUUGAUUCCUAUAAGACGUACCUUUUAGUCGAGUCAUUCUCUGUGAUUCCUAAAAGACGUAUCUUUUAGUUGAGUCAUCCCCCUUGAUUCCUAUAAGGCGUACCUUUUAGUCGAGUCAUCUCCCGUUGAUUCCUAUAAGACGUAUCUUUUAGUCGAGUCAUUUCCCUUGACCCCUAGAAUACGUACCUUUUAGUUGAGUCAUUUCCCUGGAUUCCUAUAAGACGUACAUUUUAGUCAAGUCAUUUCCAUUGACCCCUAGAAGAUGUACCUUUUAGUCGAAUCAUUUUUCUGGAUUCCUAUAAGACGUACCUUUUAGUCGAGUCAUCCCCCUUGACCCCUAGAAUACGUACCUUUUAGUCGAGUCAUUUCAUUUGAUUCCUAUAAGACGUACCUUUUAGUCGAGUCAUUCUCCUUGAUUCCUAUAAUGAUGUGACUUUCGCAAAAGUCCUUUGAUGGUAAACUGGGGCAAAAUUUAAUUCUUGUGUUGGAAUUUCACUUUUCUGUCAAAUUAAAUCUCUUUAUAAUAAUCUUUGUUUGGGAUAAUUUUCUUUUCAGUUUUGAUGUGAUUUCAGGAGCCCUCCUGGAGAACAGAGUGAAGAAAUGAAAAGUCAAGAAACAAAGUGAAGAAGUUGAAAGUCAAGCAACAAGGUGAAAAGUCGAAAGUUAACAGAUUGAUGAAAUAGCAAGUCAGGAGCCCGCCUGAAGAACAGGGUGAUGAAAUUGCAAGUCAGGAGCCCGCCUGAAGAACAGGGCGAUGAAAUUGCAAGAUAGGAGCCCGCCUGAAUAACAGGGUGAUGAAAUGGCAAGUCAGAAGCCCACUCGAAGCACAGGGCGAAUAAAUGGAAAGUUAAGCAAUAAGGUGAAACAAUUGAAGACCAAGCAACAAGUGAUGAAAUUGCAAGUCAGGAGCCCGCCUGAAGAAUAGGGUGAUGAAACUUAAGUCAGAAGUCCAAUAGAAGCUGUAUAGAUAGGAUUUUAUAAUUUCAUUUAUGUUUUUACUUGUAAUUUUCAUUUUGAUGUGAUGACAGAACCGCGGAACGGAACCUCGAUGGAACCUCACUCGACUCUCCAACUCGGUAUAGUCCAUUUCCUUCCAAUCCUUUGAGACACCGUCACUUCAUUCCUCCAUAACUUGGGUGGGUAGAAUGGCUUAAUUCAGAAUUUGGUUGUUCUUCUUCUUUCUGUUUCUUUCUUUGAAUAAUGGUCGGGACAAAAUUCUGCCUUAUUGUCUACUUCUUUGUCUGAAAACCCUUCAUGUUUACAUUCAAAGGGGGCAUGAUGUAGACACCUAAUUUCGUCCCUCCCCGAUAUCGUUUUUACCCAGUUUUACUUUAUCAUACACCCAUGUAAUUAUAUCCCGCAAAAAUACAAAAAAUAACAACUUGAAACAAAUUCCCUAACAAACUACCUAACAAAUUUUAUCCUAUCCUAACCCCCUUUACACCUCAUCCUAACAACCUACCCAAUCAAAAUAAACCACCUCACUACCCCUUACCCAACCUCACCCCCUAAGCAGCCCCCCCCCUCCCCCCCCAAUUUUUUUUGUUGUUUGUUCCUUUUAACCAAAACAGAACAAAAGGAAUAAAAAGGGGCCCACAGGGAAUGGGUGGACACAAAAUACAUAGGCACACAAGAUCCUCUCCAUUCAGAGCAAUACCCAUAGACACGAAAUUUCCAUUCCACUCAUAUGCACACUCUCUCUUAUACGUAUAGGGACACUCAUAGUAACAAUACGAGGGGACCAUCCAUCAAUACCAGAGAAGACCCCAAAACACAUACACACAAAAAUCAUCUUCUCCACCAGGAGGAAUCACUGAUCCUCACCGAAUACACUCACUGAAAUUCCCCAUUUAGGUAUAAUUAAGAAUACACACUCACGUACACAGUAACACGAGAGAGAUGAGAGAGAGCAACUGAACGAGAGAGAGAAAAGAAGAAAGAGGAUUGAGCGAGAGAGUAUGAUAAAGUUGGGAGGAAAACGAUAAAAAUCUGAGUGUAAGUGAGAGAGAGAGAAACGAAGGUGGGGGUGUUGGUUCUGGUGAAAUCUCACCAGGAAUCGCCAUUUUUGACUAAGAUCUGAACCAUACUCCGUCUGUCCGUAACUGUUGGAGCUCGUCGAAACUCCGGCGAUACAAAUAUCAUCUCCACCUUCAUCAAAAUCAUAAAACCCGAUCACCCCAUCACUGUUGAGGCUUGUCGAGCUCCGUUGAAGUCGCAACAGUCCAGCCCAAUGACCACGCCUUUUGCCGACUAAACCCGUAACCCCGUUGAUGUGAAUAGUAUUAUGAACAAAGUCGCAAACAUUGGUUUUUGGUCCAGAUUCGAUUCAGAUUUUUGGGGGUUUUGAUUUGAGAUUGUUAUUUUGGAUUGUGCGGUUUUGGGUUCAAUCGAGUUGGUGAGUUUGCGUUGAUUCGGAUUUAGGUUCGAUUCGAGGUUUUGGACGGGGAUUCUCUCAGUUUUAAUUAGAAUAAUACAUUGAUUUUGAAAGCGUGAUCGGAGGUCCAAUUCUAUCUUUUCUCAUUUCUAUUUCAUUAUACUUGUUUGAUAUGUGUGAAGUAUGAUAUGAUAUGACUGUUUUGGUGAUUUUGAUUUGUCAUUUGAUGUCAUCGAUAUUGGUUAUGGAUUGUUAAAAAGUAAUUGUGAAUUGUUACGUUGGAACCUUGAGUUGAAUUUGGGGCGGGAAUUGAGACAUUAAUAACAGUGAAUAUUGAUUAAUUUUGAUGUAUUGAUGAUGUAGAUGAAUUCGGUAGUAUCAUGAUAAGACCGGCUAAAGCACAGGCAAAUAGUAGGCUUGGGUAGGUAUAUUUAGAACUUAUGGAUUGUUUGAGUGCUUGGAAUGUUUUAGGAAUGGUUUGUCUUUCUCGCAUUUGAAAAAUGUAUUCGUUUAGUCAGGGAAUGCCCCGAGACGCAUUGUAUUUAUUCACCGGGGAAUGCCCCGACAUAUUGUGUUGGCAGAAGACGUUCGUGAUGAAGGCCCGAGGCAUCGGGUAAAGCACGGGAGCGUAGUUAGGAUUAG